CAAGUAUAUAAACUUGCGCACACUUUUUUGAUGUGGAACAUACAUGUAUCUAUGUAAAAGAAGUGGAUGUCAGACCUAAAGAAUGAAUCGCAACACCCAACCCUCAAGAACGUUUGCUCAUGGUGUACAGACAGCAAACCAUACAGUGCAGAUCACUGAGACAGAAUCGGGCUUUGAUGCAUUUUAUUGGAUGGCAUGUGGCAACGCGGGAAGGAGGGACCAAUUCAUCCAUAUUUUUUUUUACCGACAUUGGCCCUUUUUUCUACAUAGAGAAACUUAAUUCUUAUCAGAUGCAACUGGCUUUUCCACUUAUUACGAAAAGUAUGAUUUAUUACAUUGAAAAUUAAUGCAUAAAAUUUUUUAAGCGUAGUUCUUGCACUAAAUAGAUUGUU